CGAGCGGCGGACGGGUGAGUAAUGUCUGGGAAACUGCCUGAUGGAGGGGGAUAACUACUGGAAACGGUAGCUAAUACCGCAUAACGUCGCAAGACCAAAGAGGGGGACCUUCGGGCCUCUUGCCAUCAGAUGUGCCCAGAUGGGAUUAGCUAGUAGGUGGGGUAACGGCUCACCUAGGCGACGAUCCCUAGCUGGUCUGAGAGGAUGACCAGCCACACUGGAACUGAGACACGGUCCAGACUCCUACGGGAGGCAGCAGUGGGGAAUAUUGCACAAUGGGCGCAAGCCUGAUGCAGCCAUGCCGCGUGUAUGAAGAAGGCCUUCGGGUUGUAAAGUACUUUCAGCGGGGAGGAAGGUGUUGAGGUUAAUAACCUCAGCAAUUGACGUUACCCGCAGAAGAAGCACCGGCUAACUCCGUGCCAGCAGCCGCGGUAAUACGGAGGGUGCAAGCGUUAAUCGGAAUUACUGGGCGUAAAGCGCACGCAGGCGGUCUGUCAAGUCGGAUGUGAAAUCCCCGGGCUCAACCUGGGAACUGCAUUCGAAACUGGCAGGCUAGAGUCUUGUAGAGGGGGGUAGAAUUCCAGGUGUAGCGGUGAAAUGCGUAGAGAUCUGGAGGAAUACCGGUGGCGAAGGCGGCCCCCUGGACAAAGACUGACGCUCAGGUGCGAAAGCGUGGGGAGCAAACAGGAUUAGAUACCCUGGUAGUCCACGCCGUAAACGAUGUCGACUUGGAGGUUGUGCCCUUGAGGCGUGGCUUCCGGAGCUAACGCGUUAAGUCGACCGCCUGGGGAGUACGGCCGCAAGGUUAAAACUCAAAUGAAUUGACGGGGGCCCGCACAAGCGGUGGAGCAUGUGGUUUAAUUCGAUGCAACGCGAAGAACCUUACCUACUCUUGACAUCCAGAGAACUUUCCAGAGAUGGAUUGGUGCCUUCGGGAACUCUGAGACAGGUGCUGCAUGGCUGUCGUCAGCUCGUGUUGUGAAAUGUUGGGUUAAGUCCCGCAACGAGCGCAACCCUUAUCCUUUGUUGCCAGCGGUUAGGCCGGGAACUCAAAGGAGACUGCCAGUGAUAAACUGGAGGAAGGUGGGGAUGACGUCAAGUCAUCAUGGCCCUUACGAGUAGGGCUACACACGUGCUACAAUGGCGCAUACAAAGAGAAGCGACCUCGCGAGAGCAAGCGGACCUCAUAAAGUGCGUCGUAGUCCGGAUUGGAGUCUGCAACUCGACUCCAUGAAGUCGGAAUCGCUAGUAAUCGUAGAUCAGAAUGCUACGGUGAAUACGUUCCCGGGCCUUGUACACACCGCCCGUCACACCAUGGGAGUGGGUUGCAAAAGAAGUAGGUAGCUUAACCUUCGGGAGGGCGCUUACCACUUUGUGAUUCAUGACUGGGGUGAAGUCGUAACAAGGUAACCGUAGGGGAACCUGCGGUUGGAUCACCUCCUUACCUUAAAGAA
rnacentral:rRNA from 1 species